rnacentral:tRNA from 1 species
CUCCUUAUCGACGACAUCAGCUGCUCCAUAAGUUCCCACACGAAUUGCUUGAUUCAUUGAAGAAGACGAUAAGAAGCAGCCCGAAAUUGGGUCUGUAGCUCAGUUGGUUAGAGCGCACCCCUGAUAAGGGUGAGGUCGGCAGUUCGAAUCUGCCCAGACCCACCAAUUUUGUGUGGGAAACGCCUGUAGAAAUACGGGGCCAUAGCUCAGCUGGGAGAGCGCCUGCCUUGCACGCAGGAGGUCAACGGUUCGAUCCCGUUUGGCUCCACCACUACUGCUUCUAGAAGUUGAAAGCUUAGAAAUGAGCAUUCCAUCAAUGUGAUGGUGAAUGUUGAUUUCUAGUCUUUGAUUAGAUCGUUCUUUAAAAAUUUGGGUAUGUGAUAGAAAGAUAGACUGAACGUUACUUUCACUGGUAACGGAUCAGGCUAAGGUAAAAUUUGUGAGUAAUUGCGAAUUUUCGGCGAAUGUCGUCUUCACAGUAUAACCAGAUU